AAGGGCACCACAAGAACGCGUGGAGCAUGUGGCUUAAUUUGACUCAACGCGGGAAAUCUUACCGGGUCCGGACACACUAAGGAUUGACAGGUAAAAGAAGUUCAUUCUCAUUGUUAAUCAAUGAGUCUGGCUCUGUAAAUAUGCUAGUCCUUUCAUGAUUGUGUGAUAGGUGGUGCAUGGCCGUUCUUAGUUCGUGGAAUAAUCUGUCUGCUUAAUUGCGUUAUUAUAAGGUGUCAGUGUCUAUCAACCCUCAACUUUGCUUGUCUCCAUUGUGAACAUCAUAGUUGGGGCUGGAUGCUAGUCACUCUAUGAAACGAACGUGACCCCGACCUCUUGUUACUUGAUAAAAUAAUGUCAUUUGUGGAGCAGUUGUUUACUUCGGUAAUCACUGUAUUCUCCCAUUAACGACUCGAGAUACGAGGGGGAUUGCCAAGCUCAAGCUGGAUGAAAGUCGGGGCAAUAACAGGUCUGUGAUGCCCUUAGAUGUUCCGGGCUGCACACGUGCUACAAUGAUCUAUGCAGUAAGUAUCUACAAAAGACUUCAUGUUCAGUUUAUCUGACGGAAGCAAGCCUGCUUCGAGAGUAAGUAGGUAAUCAAUUCGAAGUAUAGAUUUCCUUUUUAUAGCCGACUGUACAUGUUUCCUUUAAGGAUAACUGUACUCAGCUCUUUUUCUUAGAAUUCAUAGUGGGGACAGACCUUUGUUAAUUGUUGGUCUCGUUUUCAACUAGGAAUGCCUUGUAUGAGCCUUUGGUUCAACA
rnacentral:rRNA from 1 species